GGUUUUGUUUUUAAGAGCAAUUGCUCUAUUUCAAAGAAUAUUAGCCUUCUAUUUGGGAUAAUGAGCAAAAAAGUAUUGUGUGCAGCAAGAAUUUCGAUAGAAAAAAUCAUCAGACGUUAAGAUUAUCAAAACAAUGCAUUCAGUGGGAUAAGAAAGGACGUUAUAAAAUUAUUAGUUUCUAUGUAACAACAGAUUGUGCAGAUUACACUAAUUCGAUAGUAAAUAAGAAAACAUAUAUCUUUAUAUUUUCGUCUCAACUCUUAAUAGUUUGAUCCUUAUUAAUAUCAGAU
rnacentral:lncRNA from 1 species